UACGGAGGGUGCAAGCGUUGUCCGGAUUUAUUGGGUUUAAAGGGUGCGUAGGCGGUUCUUUUAAGUCUGGGGUGAAAGCCCGUUGCUCAACAACGGAACUGCCCUGGAAACUGGAGGACUUGAGUACAGACGAGGGUGGCGGAAUGGAUGCUGUAGCGGUGAAAUGCAUAGAUAGCAUCCAGAACCCCCGAUUGCGAAGCAGACU
rnacentral:rRNA from 1 species